CCAGAAAUGUUGUGUGGCUGAUAGAGUAGGGCAAGAUGCUACUCCCCAUGAUCAAGAUUUUCCUAAUGAUAAGGAUAUUUUUUGGGUGAUGCCCUCAGAGAAGAGCUUCAUGACCCUGGAGUGCUGAACACCCCUGAAAAACUUUGAGGUUGCAAGAAAUGGAAGAAGCUUCACUUAAGAAGUGAGAGUGAAGGGGUUCCCUCAAACAGAAAACCCCAUAUCAGAGAUAGCAAACCAAAAUCAUGAAAUAGCAGAUUGCGGGCAAGGAUGUUGGCAAAGAGAAA